CUCUCUCUCUCUCCUGCUCUGCAAUGUGAAGAUGUGCCUGCUUCCACUUUGCCUUCUGCCAUGAUUGGCCAAACAGCUGGGAAGAGGCAGAACCAGGUUCAAGAGCAGGCCAGCCUCGGUCGGCAACUGGGGGUCUCAGCAGGUUGCCUACCUCAUGCUCUAGGGCCCCGCCGUUUCCUGGAACCUUGCCUUGAACAGAAAUGAGAACAAGGAUGUGAAGAGAUAAUCUGAAACAACAGUAUAUGACUCAAACUCUCCUCUUCUCCUCCUCCCAUAAGGCAAUGCAGAAAAGAAAAAACAUAAGGAUAAACAUAUUGAGAUUUGCUCUUGCUCCAGCACAAUUCCCUGAAAGGCUUCUUCUAAGCCUGGUAUCCUGGGAGUGGCAGUGUUUUCAGCGUGGCAGACAGAGCAGUCAGGAAGCUGGGAGCCCAAACAGCGUGAGACAAAGCCACAAAACAGAGGCCGCGCAUCAGUCGAAAGUGCUCCCGGUGCCUGUGGUCCAUAGAGUGGAGUGAGUCUCUAAGCAAAUCUGGAGGGACUCUGGGAGCUGAAGAUUCAGAAUAUCUCCACUUAUUCUUGCCAUAGCCUUUGCUGCUCAACUGUUGGGUGCCAUGAUGAUGGAGUCUUGCUCUGUUGCCAGGCUGGAGUGCAGUGGCGCAAUCUCAGCUCACCGCAAACUCCGCCUCCUGGGUUCAAGUGAUUCUUCUGCCUCAGCCUCCUGAGUAGCUGGGAUUACAGGUGCGUACCACCACACCCAACUAAUUUUUAUAUUUUUGGUAGAGACGGGGUUUCACCUUGUU
rnacentral:lncRNA from 1 species